rnacentral:rRNA from 1 species
GACGAACGCUGGCGGCGUGCUUAACACAUGCAAGUCGAGCGGUAAGGCCCUUUCGGGGGUACGACGAGCGGCGAACGGGUGAGUAACACGUGGGUGACCUGCCCUUACGCUCUGGGAUAAGCCUGGGAAACUAGGGUCUAAUAACCGGAUAUGACUCCAUGACGCAUGUUGUGGGGUGGAAAGCCUUGUGCGGCUAGGGAUGGGCCCGCGGCCUAUCAGCUUGUUGGUGGGGUGAUGGCCACCAAGGCGACGACGGGUAGCCGGCCUGAGAGGGCGACCGGCCACACUGGGGACUGAGACACGGCCCCAGACUCCUACGGGAGGGCAGCAGUGGGGGAAUCUUGCGCAAUGGGCGAAAGCCUGACGCAGCGACGCCGCGUGAGGGAUGACGGCCU